UCAAGGCAAAUUCACCGAUGAAAAUCAAGAAAUAACUCAAGGCACAGUCGAGUUUCAAAUAUAUCACAAUAAAAACAAAACUACAUCAACAUGUUAAUUAGCCAUGACACUAAUAAUCCCCCAAAUUUGCUCAAAUAUCACCCACGACAAUGUGAAGAUGAAUGUCCACAGAAAUAAGUCAGUAAUUGGAUUAAAAUUUUAUGAAGAGAAGCAUGAAAGCAUAAAAUUGAUCUAAAAACAUAAUUUGCAGAAGACCAAGUAUGUCUAGAUAGUUUCACAUUCUUCAACAAUGAAUUCUUCUUGACAGAGUCUAGGUCCAGGACAAAAAUUACCAUAGGUAUCGUAUGAAGACAAAACAAGAAAGGAACACGAAGCAUACAAUGUGAGACAGACCCAAAUAUCCUAGCACGUCUCUAUCAACCCACCCUACCGACAACUGCUCAACCUCAUCUUUUAGUCUAGGGUUUUCGAAAAUGAAGCAUAAAGAAAAGAAAAGAUACACAAAUGAAGACAAAAGAACAAAGGAAGAAGAAGCACCACCCACCGUCUGAUCACGUCCACCGAUUAAGUCGCACCGCCCACCGAACAAUGACGUCGACCUUCCGAUUAAGUCGCACCGCCCAAAAUCUCCACUUCUCUAUUAACCCACCCUUGCCCUAACACGAACAAUGAUCCCGCCUUUGGCAAAACUGAAAUCAGUGCAAUGAGAAUCUCACCCAAAUUAUGUCGCACCGCCCAAAAUCUCCACUUCUCUAUCAACCCACCCUUGCCCUAACACGAACAAUGAUCUCGCCUUUGGCAAAACUGAAAUCAGUGCAAUGAGAAUUUCACCCAAAUUGUGCAGCUGCUUUGCUUCAAAAUGCACAGUUUCAUUUAGAAUGAUUCUACCGCUGCAAAAAUUCGAAAUGCACAGUUUCAUUUACAAUGAUUCCACCGCUCCAAAAUGACAAAAUUAACCUUGCUAACAUCAACAAAAAGUGGACCCCACCCGCGUGUCAAAUGAGUGUCAAAUGCUUUAGUUGUGUCAAAGUAUUAUUUUUUAUGUUUUUAUUUAGAUUUGCAUUCUAUUCUAAAGAAAAAUUAUUUUUUGACACACUUAAAUUUUUUACAUUCAUUUGACAUUACCCUUACUUACUUUUUACUCUCUUCUUUCUUGAAAAACUACAAAAUUUUACACUUUUUAGACCAUUUUACCCUUAUAUUUUGUGUUAAACGAGUGUAAAAGUGUGUCAUAGUAUUAUUACUCUAUUCUAAAUGCAUGCAAAUAUCAAGGUUUUAUGAAAAUAUGCAACCUGUGG
rnacentral:lncRNA from 1 species